rnacentral:rRNA from 1 species
GACAGAGGUGCCGAGCGUUAGGCGGAAUCACUGGGCUUAAAGCGUGUGUAGGCGGGCGGGCAAGUACCUUGUGAAAUCCCACGGCUCAACCGUGGAACUGCUGGGUAUACUGCCUGUCUUGAGCCAGCCAGGGGCAGUCGGAACAGACGGUGGAGCGGUGAAUGACGUAGAUAUCGUCUGGAACGCCAAAGGUGAAAACAGACUGCUGGGGCUGUGCUGACGCUGAGACACGAAAGCCAGGGGAGCGAACGGG